rnacentral:rRNA from 1 species
UACGUAGGGUGCAAGCGUUAAUCGGAAUUACUGGGCGUAAAGCGUGCGCAGGCGGCUUUGCAAGACAGAUGUGAAAUCCCCGGGCUUAACCUGGGAACUGCAUUUGUGACUGCAUGGCUGGAGUGCGGCAGAGGGGAUGGAAUUCCGGCGUGUAGCAGUGAAAUGCGUAGAUAUGCGGAGGAACACCGAUGGCGAAGGCAAUCCCCUGGGCCUGCACUGACGCUCAUGCACGAAAGCGUGGGGAGCAACAGG